GUGAAUCAUCGAAUCUUUGAACGCAAAUUGCGCUUCCUAGCAUCCCGGGAAGUAUGCCUGUUUGAGGGUCAGUAUUAUCAAAAAAAUCGGUUUGGUUGCUAAUUGUGGCGUUUCCGGAGUGUGUUCUAUCGUAUCUUUUUUGGUUAAGGGGCUUAAAAUUGACCUUAUUUGCUCAUUUUGAGGCGUACAUAAAUUUUUUUUUUAUUCUUCUAUUCUUAAUGCCAAGAUCUCAUACGAUGCG
rnacentral:misc_RNA from 1 species